CUCACCUGUUCUCGGUCCUUUGUUCAUGGCCCAUCCCCACAAGGUCGCAUGCUCCUGAGGGCAAGGAGUGUCCUCUGUGCUCUUCCAACCCAGAGCAGGGACUCGGUGACAAACCGGUUUUCUGUAAGAAGGCAGGAGGGAGGCGUCAGGCAGCGGUCUCAUGCCCUGAGACGAUGAGGAGGAGACCAGGUCUUCUCAGUCCAGGUUGUAGGAGGUGGGUGGGGUGGGGGUGGGGGUCCUGUGAGGGACAAAGCAGGAUGUGAUGCUCCAAGCACUUGGCCCAGAGAGUGCGGUCCCUGAGGCUGGGCAGGUGAAUCUGGAACAAAAAUGGGACCUAUCCUGUCAGUCAGGAGGAGCCCAUCCUGUGUUUAUUGCUGAAAAGUCUUUGAAAAGCCUCAGGGUCGCCAUGCCCCUAUGUUGUGAGGAGGGGCUGGGCAGCCCAGUCAGGCCCAGGCCUUCCCCCCCACCCCGACAGCCACCUGGUGACAGUAGGGAGGUGGAGGGUGGUUCCUGAGCGGGCACGCUGCAAGGCUGACUGACCCUUCGGAUCAGGGGGGGUUCUUGCCGAUCCCCAUCACAAGAUGUUGCUGCCCUGAGAUCACGGAACUACACUGAUGGAGAAACAGAACCACAGAGGAAGAAGAGGAUCUCACGGCCUCAGAGGGACUUCACUCUGCGUGGGAAGGACAUGCCCCUUGGACACCCCCACACACCAGACACUGGGAUUGCAGUGAGUGAGUAAAAACUAGACAGUGGCUGUGUCUCCCUGCUCUGUGGUGUGAGUUACAGGGCUGAGCAAUGCCCCGUAACUGGGACAAACAGAAGACACGCUGAGCUCAUAAAUCUUUCUUCUUGGCCUGGUGUGAAUCAAGAGGCUAUUUUCCAGAAAUGAGCAUCCACAGACUUUUGAGGCCUUUCUCCCAAAAGACUGUGAUAUUCUCCUGCUGUCUGGAGUGAAUGCCAUCUAAAUCCAGCUUUCCCACAAUGUAACUGGCAGACAGUGUCACCCCCAGAGAUCUGGAGAUUUAGGAGGGGUCUGAUUCGAGCACAGAGGUGCUCUGGGAAAUGGAAUCAAGUGUCUGGGCCUGUGUGGUCACCACAGCGUCUCCGUACCUGCUUCUGGGUGUAUUUCUGGGAAAGACCAACGUGCUGACCUAUCACCUGGGAGAUGUGGAUGACUGCUUGAAAAUCUGAUUUGAAGGCCCCCCACCCCAACCCAACGUGCCUACAGAGUGACACCUCUGUGGUCCCCCGUACUUGGGGAGCACAUGGGCCGUGCUUGCGCCCUUGUGUGGACAGAAGAGGUUUCCUGGCCUGGCUCAAUAGAGACAGGGAGAGGGGAGGGAAAGAGGGAGGGACCGGUCCAGCCCAACACUCAUAAAACCUCUUCAUCUGCGUGUUUAUGGGCCCAAGUUCCUGUGGUGAGCCUUUAAAGUCACACAGCAGGCUCCUGUGUGCUCAUGAGAUCCCACCCAUCUGUGAUACGUUGCCCUUAGCAACACUUGCUGCCCAGGCCACUCUGGUCCCCUCCCAUGUCACGGCCAUUGGGCGACAGGGAAGCAAGGGGCUGGAGAGUUCAGGGAUAGUCCUAGCGCUGAGUGAGGGUGGAGCUGGGGGUGCAGGUCCCUGGGCUGGGGGUGCUGCUGGGCACAGGUUCCCCAGCUUCUUGGGGAGAUUCCACAUUCUCUCAUUAUCUUCUGCCCAACUACCUGGCGGAGGGCAGGCAUCCCUGGUGACAUCCCAGGGUCCCCAAGCUAUGUCCCAGCUCUUCCUCAUUCCAGAGAAAGUGUGUGGAAUAGGGUUGCCAGACAAGUCACAGAUAGCCCAGCUAAAUUUGAAUUUGUUGAAAAACAAGUAGUUUUUUUAGUACAAGUAUUUCCCAUAUAUUGCAUAUAAUUUUUUAUGCUAAAAAAUUAUUUGUUUAUCUGAAAUUCAAAUUUAACAGGCUGUCCUGUGAUUUCAUUUGUUGAAUUUGGUCACCUUAACUUGUAAGGAACCACAGUUACUGCUGCAGGUCACUGAAAGCCCUCCCUGGGUUCCAGGCGCUGGGCUGAGCCUUUGCAUGUGUUAUUCAUUUAAACCUUAUCAAUUCACUGCAUCCCAAACUUGGAUGAUUUACUUACCACUUUCAAGAUGUUUGCCGUAUCUUUUGCACACUGCUGGUACUAUUUUUUAUUUAAUUCUUUUCUUUAGAUCAAUUUCCUUUUUCUAAAAAAAAAAGUAGUUUUAAAUGAAAUCUUAUAUGCACUAUGAAUUGUCAUAAUAGUUGCACAAUUAACACAAUAUGAUCAUGGUAUUGCCUGCUGGAUACUCUUGCCUGCGGGAAGAUUGGAGGCUGUGGUAUUCUGAGGUAUUUUAAUCACUGCUUGAGAGGUCCAGACUCCUGCCGGAGCUGAUACUGUUCUCUACCAUCGUCUCACCUUCCUCGCUGGAAGUCUUCAUCCUCCGAGAAAGGCUAGAAAUGCUAUAUUGUACCCCCUUUCCCAGCCUCCCUUCAGCCAACAGGGGGUUAUGGCCCAGCUGUCACCAUGGAUAUCGAAAUUAAAACCUCUGGAAGCUUCUGGGAAAGAUUUAAAAAACAAACAAACAAACCUUGGAAGCAAGCUUAAUGCCCAUCAGAAAAUGAAUGGAUAAAGAAAAUGUGGUAUAUACAUAAAAGAGAAUUAUUCAGCCUUAAAAAAGGAAAUCCUGUCAUAUGCUACAACAUGGAUGACGAACCUAAAGAACAUUAUGCUAAGUGAAAUAAACCAGUUACAAAAAGACAAAUACGGCAUGAUUCCACCUAUAUUUAUGUGAAAUAUCUAAGGCAGUCAAACUCUUAGAAACAGAAACUAGAAUGGUCUCCGCAGGGACUGGGGGGAGAGGAAAACAAGGGGUGAUUCAUUAGGUCUAGUAUUUCAGUUUUGCAGGAUGAAAAAGUGCUAGAGAGUUUUUGUAUAACAGUACACAGAAGCAAUUGUUCUGAGCACCUAAAAAUGGCUAACAUGGCAAAUGUUAUAUAUAUAUUUUAACACAAUAAGAAAAUUUUGUAAUUGGACAGUGACAAUUAUUGUACAAUUUUGUAAAUCACUAAAUGGUUUGCUUUAAAAUGGUCAUUUUAUGUGAAUUUCACUUCAAUAAAAUUUUUUGUGUGUGCAUGUCUUACAACAAAC